GUGCACCAGUCGAGAAACUUCACAAUGUGCGAAAGCACGAUGAGGGAAUCCCAAGUGCUUGCUCGUAAGAGUAAGCUGUUUCUCUGUCUAAAACGCAGAGAGAGUAAGGGCUGGGUAAGACGGGUGCCAGCCGCCGCGGUAAUACCUGCAGCUCGAGUGGUGGCCGCUAUUAUUGGGCCUAAAACGUCCGUAGCCGGUUUAUUAAAUGCCUGGGUAAAUCGGACCGCUUAACGGUUCGAAUUCCGGGUAGACUGAUAAACUUGAGACCGGGAGAAGCUAGAGGUACUCCUGGGGUAGAGGUGAAAAUUCUGUAAUCCUAGGGGGACCACCAGUGGCGAAGGCGUCUAGCUAGAACGGGUCUGACGGUGAGGGACGAAGCCCU
rnacentral:rRNA from 1 species